UUGGAGUCGGUUUUAUUUUUUUUUUAUAAAAUUUAACUUAUUUGGCUAGCAAUAUGAUAAAUGAUAUUGAGCAAUUGAACGUGAGUGAAUUGCAUAAAAUCUACGUAAUUUUUGUCAAGGAUGUAGUUCGUAAAGGCAUGACCUUGUGAUAAUAUUCACAUUAAUCUAAUUAAAGUCACAAUAGACUCGUAAACUGUAAUGUAAGUGAAUUGUUUAAACUAAUAUAAUCGAUAAGUUUAAUAAAAUAUUAAUUAUUUUAAUUUAAUAAGAGUUUUUGUUACAAUAUUUUAUUAUUUCUAUAAUCGUUUAGCCAAAGAAUUGUGUUUAAAGUGAGUUUGUUGAAGUUAUUUUAUGUAAAUAAAAUUUAAUUGGUGCCUUUAUAUUUAUAACAAUAACAAUGUAGUUCAGAUUAAGCUUGUUCCUGGACAAAUCUAAAUUGUGAGGCUGAGUGAUUAAUAAUAAUACUUUUGUAAGGAAUGUUUCUAAUAGGUAACUCAAGUAGUAAAUAAUGAUUUUCACAAGACAAAGACAAUCCAACAAAACGCUUGUUUUUAUUUUUUAGUUAAAUGUUUUUUCUUUCUUCCUAAAAGCCUCUAACAAACUUUUGUUAUAAGAGUGGUAGGUGGACUAGUAAGUACCGUAAUGUUUUAACCCUUGGUUUCAGAGGAAAAAUUGUUUUGUGAAUUAGAUUUAACAUAGUUUACAAGUUUUGAAUAAAACAAACUACAAAGAAAAUAUAAAUUCCGCUUAAAAGUUUUGAUAUAGAGACUAUGAAAACUUUUGCACUUUCACAUCAUAAUAAUAAAAAUUAUGAAGAAAUCUUUGCAUUGUGAUUGUCAUUAGAACGUCACUGAGGAUCAAACUGUGCCUUUACUAAGAAUUUCUUCCACAUAUCAUAAUAAAAGAAACCAGCCGUAAACCUUAUGGACUUUAUUGACUUUAUGUACACGAUAUCAAACCGCACAUUACAUAACAAUUUACACCGGAAUACGCAAACAGACAGUAUAAAUUACAACACUAACUUUACAUCAUUCCUCAAUAAACGAGUUUUACCCAUAAUAUUGUUUUUAUCCUAAUUAAACCCAACAAUUUUAUACCAAAACAAAAUAAAGAUAAAAAUGAAAUGAUAGCAAUUAGGGUGACGCGACGGCACCAGUAAUGGACAUGGCACCAAUUAUGGACAUUUUUUUCGUUGAUCGAAUUUAUUAAGCAACUGUCGCAACAUUUUGAACUGGCAACACUAAAAUCACAAUCAAUAGAUGUUUGGGCUAUCAUUUUGACACACGUCACCAAAAUCGGCCACUUUGUUUUAAGAUAGCUGCGAAGUGAAAUCUCGUUGCGCGCGGUGGUCAUGAAAAUCCGUUUUUACUAUUGAAACCGUUAAGGAAAUGGCACCAAAACAAAACACCCCUAAACAAAUGGGGAGAGCAUUGGAUGCUGUAAGGAUGGGGGAAAAGACAAGCACGGCUGCCCUCCGGUUUGAUGUUCCUCGAAUAACCUGGGUUACCUCCACCAUAUCGAAUAACAAAUGAUCGAAAGUAAAAAUAUCAAACACGUUUCAUCAAAAACUCAAAACAUCGAACGAUUAAAAUAUAGAAUUUACAAAAUGAUCGAAAUAAUCUUCAAAAGAUCUAAGGAUUAAACUAUCGAAAAUCGAUCUUAUUGUAAAGUUUAAUAGGAAGAUGGAGGUAAGGGUUCCUUGUUGAC